UUUAUCAUCUUGUCGUGUCCUUCCUGCUGACGGAGACUCACUCAACUUCACUGUCACUGCUGAUUUCUCUUCUGAGGACCUGAGAAAGGAGCUGUUAUGCCUGAAAAAGAGUCUGGAGAAGAUCAGCCAGUGGGACAUCAUCACAUUGAGUCCACUAGGCUGUGAAGCUCCAAUCUUCACCCUACAGCCUGAACCUCAGAGCAGAGAGGAGUUUUUACAAUGGCACGAAGUAGAAAAUGGCCGAC